rnacentral:rRNA from 1 species
AGAGUUUGAUCCUGGCUCAGGAUGAACGCUGACAGAAUGCUUAACACAUGCAAGUCUUUGGCGAAGCUGUGCUUGCACAGCCUAGCCAAGGCGGACGGGUGAGUAACGCGUAAGGAACUUGCCCUGCAGUCAGGGAUAACAGACGGAAACGACUGAUAAGACCUGGUAAAGUCAGGCGGACUCAUGUCCAGCCUGAUGAAAAGAGAUGCUGCAGGAGAGCCUUGCGUCCUAUUAGCUUGUUGGUGGGGUAACGGCCCACCAAGGCGAUGAUAGGUAGCCGGCCUGAGAGGGUGGACGGCCACAAGGGGACUGAGAUACGGCCCUUACUCCUACGGGAGGCAGCAGUGGGGAAUAUUGGACAAUGGGGGCAACCCUGAUCCAGCAAUUCUGUGUGCACGAAGAAGGUUUUCGGAUUGUAAAGUGCUUUCAGCAGGGAAGAAAAAAAUGACGGUACCUGCAGAAGAAGCGACGGCUAAAUACGUGCCAGCAGCCGCGGUAAUACGUAUGUCGCAAGCGUUAUCCGGAAUUAUUGGGCAUAAAGGGCAUCUAGGCGGCCAGAUAAGUCUGGGGUGAAAACUUGCGGCUCAACCGCAAGCCUGCCCUGGAAACUAUGUGGCUAGAGUACUGGAGAGGUGGACGGAACUGCACGAGUAGAGGUGAAAUUCGUAGAUAUGUGCAGGAAUGCCGAUGAUGAAGAUAGUUCACUGGACGGUAACUGACGCUGAAGUGCGAAAGCUAGGGGAGCAAACAGGAUUAGAUACCCUGGUAGUCCUAGCUGUAAACGAUGAUUACUGGGUGUGGGCAUGAAGAGUGUCCGUGCCGAAGCUAAUGCGAUAAGUAAUCCGCCUGGGGAGUACGGCCGCAAGGCUGAAACUCAAAGGAAUUGACGGGGACCCGCACAAGCGGUGGAGCAUGU